rnacentral:rRNA from 1 species
CCUUUGACGUUAGCGGCGGACGGGUGAGAUAACACGUGGAUAACCUACCUAUAAGACUGGGAUAACUUCGGGAAACCGGAGCUAAUACCGGAUAACAUAUUGAACCGCAUGGUUCAAUAGUGAAAGGCGGCUUUGCUGUCACUUAUAGAUGGAUCCGCGCCGUAUUAGCUAGUUGGUAAGGUAACGGCUUACCAAGGCAACGAUACGUAGCCGACCUGAGAGGGUGAUCGGCCACACUGGAACUGAGACACGGUCCAGACUCCUACGGGAGGCAGCAGUAGGGAAUCUUCCGCAAUGGGCGAAAGCCUGACGGAGCAACGCCGCGUGAGUGAUGAAGGUCUUCGGAUCGUAAAACUCUGUUAUCAGGGAAGAACAAAUGUGUAAGUAACUGUGCACAUCUUGACGGUACCUGAUCAGAAAGCCACGGCUAACUACGUGCCAGCAGCCGCGGUAAUACGUAGGUGGCAAGCGUUAUCCGGAAUUAUUGGGCGUAAAGCGCGCGUAGGCGGUUUUUUAAGUCUGAUGUGAAAGCCCACGGCUCAACCGUGGAGGGUCAUUGGAAAUCUGGAAAACCUUGAGUGCAGAAGAGGAAAGUGGAAUUCCAUGUGUACGCGGUGAAAUGCGCAGAGAUAUGGA